AACGAACGCUGGCGGCAGGCCUAACACAUGCAAGUCGAGCGCGCCCUUCGGGGUGAGCGGCGGACGGGUGAGUAACGCGUGGGAACGUGCCCUUUUCUACGGAAUAGCCUCGGGAAACUGAGAGUAAUACCGUAUACGCCCUUUGGGGGAAAGAUUUAUCGGAAAAGGAUCGGCCCGCGUUGGAUUAGGUAGUUGGUAGGGUAAUGGCCUACCAAGCCGACGAUCCAUAGCUGGUUUGAGAGGAUGAUCAGCCACACUGGGACUGAGACACGGCCCAGACUCCUACGGGAGGCAGCAGUGGGGAAUCUUAGACAAUGGGGGCAACCCUGAUCUAGCCAUGCCGCGUGAGUGAUGAAGGCCUUAGGGUUGUAAAGCUCUUUCAGCUGGGAAGAUAAUGACGGUACCAGCAGAAGAAGCCCCGGCUAACUCCGUG
rnacentral:rRNA from 1 species